UUUCGAUUGCUUGCAAGCACGGAAACAAGGUAGCCUGUUUAUUGCCUGCUUGUUCUCUUAGGUUAGGCAUUGGCUAUUCUUGCUGGAUAGGACAUGUAGCAAAAAAAAUCUGUCCCUUGACAUAUUUUCUUUUUGUUCCACUUGAUCCUUUCAAAUUUUUAAGUAAAAUAGAGACUCGUGUUUGCGUCAUUCUGAUUUCUGUGCAUAAUUGAGGUUUGCUAACUUGAUAUUUGCUUGUCACUGCAGCUGCAUACUCCUGUGACACCUGAGGAGUUAGAGUCAUCGCCUUUAACACUCUAGCGGCACAAUGGCUCUCCCACAAAAUGUUGAAGCUGUCAUAUUUCGAGUUAAUUUAUUCCUGUAUUUUUUAUGCUUUUGUUGUACUUAAGUAAUAUGUUGUCUUCAGCAGUCCCAUUGUAUUUCCCCCUUUUAUACUAUCCAGUUUGUCUUCACUAUAUGUGAAUACAUCUUGUAUCAUAGAUGGAAAACUUGCUACCUCUAAUAGCUAUAUAGCACAUCAUGUCUAAAAUAUCUCUACUGGAGGAAGAGAAUGUUUUGCAGUAUGCAUGACUAGGCACUGUGAAGAUGACCGCGGAGUAUAUCAUAUAUGGAUGAUGAUCGGUUUCUU
rnacentral:lncRNA from 1 species